GACGAACGCUGGCGGCGUGCUUAAUACAUGCAAGUCGAACGGAAAGGCCCUGCGUUUGUGGGGUGCUCGAGUGGCGAACGGGUGAGUAACACGUGAGUAACCUGCCCUUGACUUUGGGAUAACUUCAGGAAACUGGGGCUAAUACCGGAUAGGAGCUCCUGCUGCAUGGUGGGGGUUGGAAAGUUUCGGCGGUUGGGGCUGGACUCGCGGCUUAUCAGCUUGUUGGUGGGGUAGUGGCUUACAAAGGCUUUGACGGGUAGCCCGCCUGAGAGGGUGAACGGCCACAUUGGUCCUGCGAUACGGCCCAGACUCCUACGGGAGGCAGCAGUGGGGAGUAUUACACAAUGGCCGCAAGCCUGAUGCAGCAGCGCCGCGUGCGUGAUGACGGCCUACGGGUUGUAAACCGCUUUCGACUGUGACGAAGCGUGAGUGACGGUAAUGGGUAAAGAAGCACCGGCUAACUACGUG
rnacentral:rRNA from 1 species